rnacentral:rRNA from 1 species
GAUGAACGCUGGCGGCGUGCCUAAUACAUGCAAGUCGAGCGAACAAGAACAGCUAAGCUUGCUUAGCAGUUUGCGUUAGUGGCGAACGGGUGAGUAAUACAUAAAUAACCUGCCCCUAUGUUUGGAAUAACAGUUGGAAACGACUGCUAAUGCCAAAUACGUUAUCUUAAGGCAUCUUAAGAUAAUAAAAGAUGGGAUACAUCGCAAAGGGAUGGAUUUAUGGCGCAUUAGUUAGUUGGUGAGGUAACGGCUCACCAAGACGAUGAUGCGUAGCCGGCCUGAGAGGGUGACCGGCCACACUGGGACUGAGACACGGCCCAGACUCCUACGGGAGGCAGCAGUAGGGAAUUUUCGGCAAUGGGGGCAACCCUGACCGAGCGACGCCGCGUGAGUGAAGAAGGCCUUCGGGUUGUAAAGCUCUGUUGUAAGGGAAGAACCGUAGUGAUAGGGAAUGAUCACUACCUGACGGUACCUUACCAGAAAGCCACGGCUAACUACGUGCCAGCAGCCGCGGUAAUACGUAGGUGGCAAGCGUUAUCCGGAAUUAUUGGGCGUAAAGGGAGCGCAGGCGGUUUAUUAAGUCUGAUGUUAAAACACGGAGCUCAACUUCGUGAUGCAUUAGAAACUGGUAGACUAGAGUGCAGGAGAGGUGAGUGGAAUUCCAUGUGUAGCGGUAAAAUGCGUAGAUAUAUGGAGGAACACCAGUGGCGAAGGCGGCUCACUGGCCUGUAACUGACGCUGAGGCUCGAAAGCGUGGGGAGCAAAUAGGAUUAGAUACCCUAGUAGUCCACGCCGUAAACGAUGAGUGCUAGGUGGUGGAGUAGAACUUCAGUGCGGCGGUUAACGCAAUAAGUAUUCCGCCUGGGGAGUAUGCGCGCAAGCGUAAAACUCAAAGGAAUUGACGGGGACCCGCACAAGCGGUGGAGUAUGUGGUUUAGUUCGAUGCACCGCGAAGCACCUUACCUGGUCUUGGCAUAUAUUUGAAGCAGCUUGGAGAUGAGUAAUAGUUAUAGAUAUCCAGGUGGUGCAUGGUUGUCGUCAGCUCGUGUCGUGAGAUGUUGGGUUAAGUCCCGCAACGAGCGCAACCCCUAUCUUUAGUUACCAUCAUUCAGUUGGGGACUCUAAAGAGACUGCCGGUGAUAAACCGGAGGAAGGUGGGGAUGACGUCAAAUCAUCAUGCCCCUUAUGAUCAGGGCUACACACGUCCUACAAUGGCAUAGACAAAGGGCAGCUACACAGCGAUGUGAUGAGAAUCUCAUAAAGUAUGUCUCAGUUCAAAUUGGAGUGUGCAACUCGACUCCAUGAAGCAGGAAUCGCUAGUAAUC